ACCGCGAUAGCUCAUCUGGUAGAGCAUCUGCCCGGUAUGCGGAGGGUCGCCGGUUCGAUUCCGGCUCGCGGCG
rnacentral:tRNA from 1 species